UGCCAGCCGCCGCGGUAAUACCGGCAGCCCAAGUGAUGGCCGAUAUUAUUGGGCCUAAAGCGUCCGUAGCUGGCCGGACAAGUCCGUUGGGAAAUCCGCGCGCUCAACGCGCGGGCGUCCAGCGGAAACUGUCCGGCUUGGGGCCGGAAGACCUGAGGGGUACGUCCGGGGUAGGAGUGAAAUCCUGUAAUCUCGGACGGACCGCCUGUGGCGAAAGCGCCUCAGGAAGACGGACCCGACAGUGAGGGACGAAAGCCAGGGUCUCGAACCGGAUUAGAAACCCGAGUAGUCC
rnacentral:rRNA from 1 species